UGGUUCUAGCAUCGAUGAAGAACGCAGCGAAAUGCGAUAAGUAAUGUGAAUUGCAGAAUUUUGUGAAUCAUCGAAUUUUUGAACGCACAUUGCACCUUUUGGUAUUCCGAAAGGUAUGCCUACUCGAGCGUCAUCUCACCUAUCAAACAUUAGUUUGGUUUUGAGUUAAAUCUAUGUGAUUGACUUCAAAAAGAAUUAGUUUUGGUACAAUGAUCCGUAUUCUACAACUAAUAUCUAUUUUUUUAAUGGUUGACCUCGAAUUAGGUAGGAUUACCCGCUGA
rnacentral:misc_RNA from 1 species